CCAUAUUCCUCUGUAGAUCCUUGUGUGUCAGACCAUGGUCUGACACACAAGGAUCUGUAGAGGAAUAGGGU
rnacentral:pre_miRNA from 1 species